rnacentral:rRNA from 1 species
AGUGAACGCUGGCGGUAGGCCUAACACAUGCAAGUCGAACGGCAGCACAGGAGAGCUUGCUCUCUGGGUGGCGAGUGGCGGACGGGUGAGGAAUACAUCGGAAUCUACUCUGUCGUGGGGGAUAACGUAGGGAAACUUACGCUAAUACCGCAUACGACCUACGGGUGAAAGCAGGGGACCUUCGGGCCUUGCGCGAUUGAAUGAGCCGAUGUCGGAUUAGCUAGUUGGCGGGGUAAAGGCCCACCAAGGCGACGAUCCGUAGCUGGUCUGAGAGGAUGAUCAGCGACACUGGAAAUGAGACACGGUACAGACUCAUACGAGAGGAAGCAGUGGGGAAUAUUGGACAAUGGGCGCAAGCCUGAUCCAGCCAUACCGCGUGGGUGAAGAAGGCCUUCGGGUUGUAAAGCCCUUUUGUUGGGAAAGAAAUCCAGCUGGCUAAUACCCGGUUGGGAUGACGGUACCCAAAGAAUAAGCACCGGCUAACUUCGUGCCAGCCGCCGCCGUAA